GACACUGACCGGGCCUUUGUCAUCCCUUAUCGCUGCUCCACCCUGUUUGUCUACAGCUGCUGGUUACACCCAAGUGUCUGUUCGUUGGUUGGUUGAUUUGGAGGUCCCUCCAGGGAGGCGAUUGAGAAGAGCCAUCCAUCCCUGCUGCAUGACUUCCAGUCCAAGAGAGAGGAGAAAGGUCUUGGUCCUGCUGGGGUCUCUCUGGGCUGAACAGGAUGACUUCACACACGUCCCAUAUGGUUCUGAAGGAUUGAGCAACACAGCAUCUAUGUUGGUGGCUGACUUAAUAACCCUUCCUUGAACUGGUUUUUCUCUUCCUAGUUUGCAUUUCCAGGCCACUGCUAUUGGUCCUUGAACUCUAUUCCCUAAUAAAAUAUUCAUAUUGAA
ensembl:lincRNA 2310016D23Rik RIKEN cDNA 2310016D23 gene